rnacentral:sRNA from 1 species
UAGUUGCAAAAUCACUCUGUUCCAGGGCAAGAUUUUCCUCUUUCUUCUUUUCCCAACUUUUUUUCUAUCUUUCUUUCUGCCAGCUGCACUCAUAUCUAAACUAAGCUAAUUAAGCUUUCACCAAGUUACUUUGCUUCUAACACUCUGUAAUAUUUGAGAUCUCCCCAUCUCCCCAAUAAGGUAUUCAUCACAGAAGCUCAC